rnacentral:rRNA from 1 species
GAUGAACGCUAGCGAUAGGCUUAACACAUGCAAGUCGAGGGGCAGCACAAGGUAGCUUGCUAUCUGGGUGGCGACCGGCGCACGGGUGCGUAACGCGUAUGCAACUUGCCCUAUACAGGAGGAUAACCCGUCGAAAGACGGACUAAUACUGCGUAUGCUCACAACUUGGCAUCCAGUGGUGAGGAAAGAAAUUCGGUAUAGGAUAGGCAUGCGUCCCAUUAGCUUGUUGGUGAGGUAACGGCUCACCAAGGCAACGAUGGGUAGGGGAACUGAGAGGUUUAUCCCCCACACUGGUACUGAGACACGGACCAGACUCAUACGGGAGGCAGCAGUGAGGAAUAUUGGUCAAUGGGCACGAGCCUGAACCAGCCAAGUCGCGUGAAGGAUGACUGUCUUAUGGAUUGUAAACUUCUUUUAUACGGGAAUAACAAGAGUCACGUGUGACUCCCUGCAUGUACCGUAUGAAUAAGCAUCGGCUAACUCCGUG